ACUCCUACGGGAGGCAGCAGUGGGGAAUUUUGCGCAAUGGGGGAAACCCUGACGCAGCAACGCCGCGUGAGUGAUGAAGGCCCUUGGGUCGUAAAGCUCUGACAGAGGGAAAGAAAUGUGGGUGGCUAAUAUCCAUACCACUUGACGGUACCCUCAAAGGAAGCACCGGCUAACUCCGUGCCAGCAGCCGCGGUAAUACGGAGGGUGCGAGCGUUGUUCGGAUUUAUUGGGCGUAAAGCGCGUGUAGGCGGUUUUAUAAGUCUGAUGUGAAAGCCCCGGGCUCAACCUGGGAAGUGCAUUGGAUACUGUAAGACUUGAAUACGGGAGAGGGCAGUGGAAUUCCUAGUGUAGGAGUGAAAUCCGUAGAUAUUAGGAGGAACACCGGUGGCGAAGGCGGCUGCCUGGACCGAUAUUGACGCUGAGACGCGAAAGCGUGGGUAGCAAACAGGAUUAGAUACCCUGGUAGUCCACGCUGUAAACGAUGAGAACUAGGUGUCGCGGGUA
rnacentral:rRNA from 1 species